rfam:Sorex araneus cont1.573414, whole genome shotgun sequence.
UUGUAUGCUUGGGCUAUAAUUUAUGAAACUGAGCCCCAGAUCCAGCCAAUCAUUUAGCUCCUCAUAACAAGUCUAACUGGCUCUGGAAAGCUGAAAGGGCUGCACUAGAACAACAAAGAUGAGAUAUUCCACACAAUAAUCUGCUUAUCUGGAAGAACUUUCCCUCGAAAGGCCAGAGAAAAAUCACAGCCCCCAUUGUCUGAGGAAAGAGAAUAGAUGAACUGGGAAAAACGCAACUCUACCUGGAGACA